GGCCAAGCCCAUGGACUAAUUGGGGGGAAGGGCUGAAGAGAGACUCUUAGAGGCAGUCCUUUUUUCCUGAACUGGUCCUUGACUGGAGCAUCCAGCAUGUGCUGGAGAGGCUUGCUGGGUGAGUGACUCGUGCUGAAGUAAGAGGCUUGUGUUGGUGGUUUUCUGGCUGGCUGACUAGUUCUAUGACUAGGACUUCCACUUGGAGAUCAGGACAUGAAGGAACCUGAGCUGAACUUCUUCAGAUCAGCACUUAGGCUGGGAGAGAUAAUCCAAUCUCAUGUCUGGCCACUGCAAUCCAGGACAAUUCUGAAGGACUUAUGAGAAAGAAUGCUGUCCACAUUCAGAGGAAGAUCUGUGGGAGUAGAAACACAGAAGAAAAACAACUACUUGAUUACAUAGGUCAAGGGGGAUAUGAUUGGGGAUGAAGACUCUAAAUGAUCAUCCUAGUGUAAAUAUCAACAACAUGGAAAUAGGUUCUGAUCAAGGACACAUGUAAAACCCAGUGGAAUUAUGCAUCAGCUACGGGAAGGGGUAGGGAGGGGAGGGAAAGAAUAUAAUUCUUGUAACCAAGGAAUAAUGUUCUAAAUUGACUAAUUAAAUAAACAUUUCAAAAAAUAAGAA
rnacentral:lncRNA from 1 species